CCUACGGGAGGCAGCAGUGAGGAACAUUGGUCAAUGGACGAGAGUCUGAACCAGCCAAGUAGCGUGAAGGAUGACUGCCCUAUGGGUUGUAAACUUCUUUUAUAUGGGAAUAAAACGUUCCACGUGUGGGAUUUUGUAUGUACCAUAUGAAUAAGGAUCGGCUAACUCCGUGCCAGCAGCCGCGGUAAUACGGAGGAUCCGAGCGUUAUCCGGAUUUAUUGGGUUUAAAGGGAGCGUAGGUGGAUUGUUAAGUCAGUUGUGAAAGUUUGCGGCUCAACCGUAAAAUUGCAGUUGAAACUGGCAGUCUUGAGUACAGUAGAGGUGGGCGGAAUUCGUGGUGUAGCGGUGAAAUGCUUAGAUAUCACGAAGAACUCCGAUUGCGAAGGCAGUUCACUGGACUGCAACUGACACUGAGGCUCGAAAGUGUGGGUAUCAAACAGGAUUAGAUACCCUAGUAGUC
rnacentral:rRNA from 1 species